AGGAGACGGAACGAUAGUAUCAAACUUUAUUUAUAAUGGGUAAAUAUGCCUUGUGGAGACCUUCAGUGUCCGUUUAUAAAUUAAGACU